GAGGGAGGCCUGGGCGCGGCCUCCGGGAGGCUGCAGCACGGGUCUGAGGUAAAUGGCCCGCCCGCUGCUGAGCCCUCGCGGGGGCUGGUUCCAGCAGCAACCGCUGGGCAGGGCCCCUCCCGACCGCGACCUCCUGUCCGCAGCAUAGGGCAGCCGGCCGGGCCAGCCUCCCGCACAAGACUACCGAGGAAGAGAUGGGAUUUCACUCUGUCACCCAGGCGGGAGUGCAGUGGUGCAAUCAUAGCAGGGACUACAAGUGUGCACCACGUGGCUUGGCUACGAACCUGAAGUAUUCUGAUGCAGUGGAGAGAGUGUAGAACUCUAGAGUGAAGAGACCUGCCUGGAACCCUGACUCUAUCACUAGAACCACAUAAUGAACCUUCCAUGCCUUUUCUGUGGUUUGUAAUGUGACCUCUACCACAUAUCACAUUCCCAUACAAAGAUGGAGUCUCCCUGUGUAGUCCAGGCUGCAGUGCAGUGGUGUGAUCUCAGUUCAAUGCAAUCUCUGCCUUCUGGCUUCAAGCAAUUCUCCUGCCUCAGCCUCCCCUGUAGCUGGGAUUACAGAUGGCCCUGGGACUAAGAAGUGGAUGGCAGCCGUGACAGCGGGAAAGGACUGCCUGAGGCUCCCUGGGCAGAGGCUCUGGUGCCAGGUUAGCAGCAGGACCGAUGGCAG